AAAAUUUAUUGAUACAAUAUUAAACCAAUAUUGGUAGUGGCUGAGAUAAGACAUUGUUUGUUGUAUGACUUUUCUGUUCUUAAAAACACUUCUCAAUCUAUAGUGUACGUACAUUGGUACAAACCAUGUUGACACAUACUUCUUAGAGUCAUAGCUGGUGUACGGUCACCCGAGUGAGAAAUGUUAUCUCCGCGAGGUACACGUUGACUUGUGUACGUACACUCUGCCAAUAGACGACUGAAUUCCCCUGGUGUGAGAAUGACGUUCUCCUCAACAUUCCCUAUUCCAUAUUCUUCUACAAUUACAUCGUUCUACUUGUUAUAAUCAUAAUCUUCGCCACUAAUUUCACUACCGUCAAUAGUAUGAUCGAGGGUACUUCCCCCAAUAGAUCCAUCGUCACCCUAAUAAGCAUCAUACCCAUCACCAUCUUCGUUGUCCCCCUCCUCUUCAUCCUCAUCUGUUUUAUCGUCUUCAACGUCGUCUUGCUCAUCUACGACCUCAUUAUUUUCAUCAACAUUUGAAACACUAUCACACACACAGUCACUUUCAGCAUCGUCACCAUGAGUUCUAGAGACAUUAUUUCCGAGUGUCUUGACGGUUGUAAUAAAAGAGACAAACAAGUUGAGAGAAGGAUACUGACCACGAAUAAAAAAGAACGUAUUCAACCCCACUUGACUGUCAAUGUAGACAGGAGGGCGUUUAGUAUCUAUCAUCACUAACAUCUCUCCCGGCUAGUGUACGUACAAAUUCUGUGUACGUCAUGUUUUCCUUAACACGUACACAUCGACCAAACAUGUCUUCUUUUAGUUCAAAUUUCCAUUCUUUUUCUUUGCAUCUCCACUCACCGACCAUAAUAAAUACGGGAAUAUCUAUUACCCAACAGCAUCAUAAAUUCAGGAGAAACCCAUUAAAUGCAACUGAAAACAUGAUUAUAUCUACAAAAACAAAUAGAAUUUCGAUAU
rnacentral:sRNA from 1 species